CACGUAGUUAGCCGGGGCUUCUUAGUCAGGUACCGUCAUUUUCUUUCCUGCUGAUAGAGCUUUACGUACCGAAAUACUUCUUCACUCACGCGGCGUCGCUGGAUCAGGGUUUCCCCCAUUGUCCAAUAUUCCCCACUGCUGCCUCCCGUAGGAGUUUGGGCCGUGUCUCGGUCCCAAUGUGGCCGUCCACCCUCUCAGGCCGGCUACUGAUCGUUGCCUUGGUGGGCCGUUACCCCGCAACCAGCUAAUCAGACGCGGGCCCAUCCCAUACCACCGGAGUUUUUCACACACCUUCAUGCGAAGCUGUGCGCUUAUGCGGUUUUAGCACCUGUUCCAGGUGUUAUCCCCCGGUAUGGGGCAGGUUGCCCACGCGUUACUCACCCGUCCGCCACUAACUUACACUUCCGUUAGUCAAUGCAAGCAUCUCCUGCUUCUGUGUAAGUCCGUUCGACUUGCAUGUGUUAGGCACGCCGCCAGCGUUCAUCCUGCGCCAGAUACAAACUCU
rnacentral:rRNA from 1 species